AUGAUGGGGUUGGGGCUGGGCGACCCGCCGGCGGAUUACGGCUCCAUCAUGGCGGUGGGGUUGUUCGUCGCGCUCAUGUGCAUCUGCAUCAUCGUCGGCCACCUCCUCGAGGAGAAUCGCUGGAUGAACGAGUCCACCACCGCGCUCUUGCUUGGGCUGGGCGCUGGCACGGUCAUCCUCUUCGCGUCCAGCGGGAAAAACUCGCGCUUAAUGGUCUUCAGCGAGGAUUUGUUCUUCAUCUAUCUGCUCCCACCCAUCAUUUUCAAUGCAGGGUUCCAAGUGAAGAAGAAACAAUUCUUCCGCAACUUCAUGACUAUUACAUUGUUUGCUGUAGUUGGGACCUUGAUCUCCUUCAGUAUAAUAUCCCUUGGUGCGAUGGGGCUAAUAUCAAGGCUGAACAUAGGCUCCCUUGAGCUUGGAGAUUACCUCGCACUUGGGGCAAUAUUCUCGGCAACGGACUCUGUUUGCACCUUGCAGGUGUUAAGCCAAGAUGAGACACCCUUCUUGUACAGUUUGGUGUUUGGUGAAGGUGUUGUUAAUGAUGCGACAUCAGUUGUGUUGUUCAAUGCAAUCCAGAACUUUGAUCUUGGAAAUUUCAGUAGCCUCAAAUUCUUACAGUUCAUUGGAAAUUUCCUCUAUCUAUUCGGCGCCAGCACCUUUCUUGGAGUAGCUAGUGGACUUCUCAGUGCUUAUGUCAUCAAGAAACUGUACUUUGGCAGGCACUCCACUGAUCGUGAAGUUGCUAUUAUGAUGCUCAUGGCUUAUUUAUCUUACAUGUUGGCUGAAUUGCUUGAUUUGAGUGGUAUUCUCACGGUUUUCUUCUGUGGUAUUGUAAUGUCACACUAUACCUGGCACAACGUAACAGAGAGUUCCAGGGUCACAACCAAGCAUGCCUUCGCCACGUUGUCAUUCAUCUCUGAGACGUUUCUCUUUCUCUAUGUUGGCAUGGAUGCAUUGGAUAUAGAGAAGUGGAAGAUUGUUAGUGAAACAUAUAGCCCAAUGAAAUCUAUUGCCUUGAGCUCCAUUAUUUUGGCAUUGGUACUGGUUGCAAGAGCUGCAUUUGUUUUCCCACUAUCUUAUCUCUCCAAUUUGACCAAAGAAACUCCAGGGGAGAAGAUCUCUAUUAGGCAGCAAGUUAUUAUUUGGUGGGCGGGUCUCAUGAGAGGUGCCGUGUCAAUUGCAUUGGCCUACAAUAAGUUUGCAAAAUCAGGGCACACUCAGCUCCCUAGCAAUGCUAUCAUGAUCACCAGUACAAUAAUUAUUGUUCUUUUCAGCACAAUUGUCUUUGGGCUACUGACUAAGCCAUUGAUCAGACUCCUGAUUCCAGCGAGGCACCUCACUAGGGAAGUGAGUGCCCUUUCUGAGCCAUCCAGCCCAAAGUCCUUCCUUGAACAGCUGCCCGGGAAUGGGCCUGAGACGGAUCUCGAGAACGCUGUGAGCAUACGCCGCCCGACGAGCCUCCGGAUGCUCCUGGCGAGUCCAACACGGUCAGUCCACCACUACUGGCGCAAGUUUGACAACGCCUUCAUGCGGCCGGUGUUCGGAGGUCGAGGCUUCGUCCCAUUUGUCCCUGGAUCUCCCACCGAAAGCAGUGUACCAUUACUAGCCCAUGGAAGUGAGAACUAG
rnacentral:rRNA from 1 species